AUUGAACGCUGGAGGCAUGCCUUACACAUGCAAGUCGAACGGCAGCACGGGAGCAAUCCUGGUGGCGAGUGGCGAACGGGUGAGUAAUGUAUCGGAACGUGCCCAGUCGUGGGGGAUAACGUAGCGAAAGCUACGCUAAUACCGCAUACGAUCUGUGGAUGAAAGCGGGGGACCGUAAGGCCUCGCGCGAUUGGAGCGGCCGAUAUCAGAUUAGGUAGUUGGUGGGGUAAAGGCCUACCAAGCCGACGAUCUGUAGCUGGUCUGAGAGGACGACCGGCCACACUGGGACUGAGACACGGCCCAGACUCCUACGGGAGGCAGCAGUGGGGAAUUUUGGACAAUGGGCGCAAGCCUGAUCCAGCAAUGCCGCGUGCAGGAUGAAGGCCUUCGGGUUGUAAACUGCUUUUGUACGGAGCGAAAAGGCUCUCUCUAAUACAGGGGGCUCAUGACGGUACCGUAAGAAUAUGCACCGGCUAACUACGUGCCAGCCGCCGCAGUAA
rnacentral:rRNA from 1 species